UAAAUAUAAAACAUUUAGAGGAUUAUGUGAUAAAAAAAAUAAGUGCUCAGGUGCUGCUCACGUCUGCACCAUGCCCACACUACCUCCUUGGGUGUGUACUUUGCUUCAUUAAAACACUCUGCCUGUACCUGCUCAACCUGCUUGUGAAUUAUUUCUCAGUCAGACUCAAGAACUCUCCUGCAUGUUGAGGUCUCAGCUAGCACACAGGGAGAUGUCUUCAACUGGAUUGGACUGGAUUGUCUGACAACAUCUUGGUGACUGCAAAGGGACUUCUAAUGCAGCCCUCACUAAUGGUUUAGGCAAGGGGGGAUUCUAUGCUACUUUAAGAGGGAGGAGGCUGACAUCUGGAUCUUAGUUGGCACAUCAGAAGGAUGGAAUUCAGGAAGAGCUGUCCCCUUUCCAUAUAAGGAUUACCAACCCCUCUCCAAAUAUGAAGAUCCUUAUUUAACCUGGAACACACCAUUGCCACUUCAGACCAAGGGUUCAACUGAGGACCACCCACCAUCAAUACAAAAAUGAACUUCAUCGCCCUUAAUCAGCAGGAAGCAGUUACUGAAGACUGACCUUCACCCCUUCCCAAAUCCUCUACCACAUAUAAAACAGAAAAAGGAGGAGUAUAAGAAAAUAGUAAUUUACCCUCUGUUUACCCCAUGGUCCCAAGCAUAUAAGCCAGUGAGAAUUAUGCAUGGACUUGUCAGGGCUUGCCUGGGCUUCUAAACAUUCCGACCUGCCCCCAAGGCAACAGGCCAAGCGAUACUCAACCACAAUAAAAGGCACAACACUCUGCACCACGCUGCUGCUCCCUCUCUCCCUCUAGGGGCAGCCACUUUCUCUUUUAGAUAAUAAAAUCUCUUGCAUGGGCCUGUGUCUCCUGAGUCGUUCUGGGUAAGGAGGGUCAUGGCGAGAUACCCUUUCAACAACUAUGUGACUUUCUUUAUCUGCCUUUAAAAUCUUUUAUUUUCACUUUGAUUAAAUGAUAAGUAUUGUUUUGUGGUGACAUAUAGUCCUAUUUAGGCAAGUGCCUUAAAACUUUUUGAUAAUUUUAACAACUUCCCAAAAUUAAAUUCUAAAUAAAGCCUUUUACUUCUAGUUAACUCCGAGAUUUUCCAGAGGGGUCCUGGAACAUUGUCAGAGGAUUUUCUCCCCAUAAAGAGAACUAUUUAGCUUUUUGGCUUAUAAAAAUCACCUGGGAAACAUUGUCAAAUGAAUGAUGCUAACUAAACUUUAGAUUACUGAACUGUUAUGUUACAGAAAUAACCAAAUUUCCUUGUCAAUUGCCUGAUGAUGAACUCUCAUCAGAUAUUUAAUCAUUGCUGUUUUUAAGUCUUUUGUCACUUAUAGUUACUGUUUUACUCUGGAACUAGUAGAAAAACUAGAUUCAAGCCAAACAAGAAUUAAUUACAUAAGAUUGAAUAAACUGAGGAGAAUGGUUUUAAUUUUUAUGAAUUUUUUCAAGUGUUUCUAAGCUUUAAAAAAAAGGUUUGUUAUUAAACGUUUUUGCUUCAGCUAAUUUACAGCAGUCUACUAAAUUAUACCUUUAUGAGCAGGACUGAAAUAUUUUCUUUCUCUUUACCUGAUCCCUCCCAAAUUUGGAAGCUCUCAGUGAACAUUUUUAUAUUUUAUGGCAGUAUAUUUAUUUACAUAAGUUCAAUAAGAACCUGUUCUCCUUGUGACAAGACACAAUUGAAAACAUUGCUUAUAUUACCAAGACUUUGACUGGAACAUUGUAUUUGUAAAUAAUCAGGCCAAAUUUUUUAAAUCUAAACUUAUUUUACUAACAAAUAAAUGUUAGUAUGGUUACUCCCUAAUAAAAAUGGGGGUGACUUUAGAGGGAAAAGAACUAUAUUUCAAUAGCUCACCUUUAUGGAUAUUAAAUUCUAAUACUGGUCAUUGUGAAAUGGACUGGAUCCUGAAUUCUGAUAUACUUCAUUAUCAGGCUAUGUACAACUCUCCUGACAGUUCCAGUCUUCUCCCAUCAUUUCACUUGGGGUCCUACUAUUUCUAGUCCUCCUAUUCCAUGUGGGUAUAAUUGCAGUAUUUUCAGAAUCUCUCACUUGGCCUUAGUGCAUCUCCAUAUCCAUAGGUGUUCCAAGGGGUGGAGAGAAGUAGUCCAUCUCCAUCUCAAUAGGUAAUUUCGAGGGCGAGUGCGGUCAUAACUGGACCAGAGAGGUUG